CUCCUUGCGCACUCCGGCACUCGCGCCCGCUCCUCCCGCACGCGCGCCCCGUCCUCACCUCUCUCCUCCUCCAAACCCUACCCCGCGCCCGCCUCCCUGAACUGCCGCCGGCACCGCCGCCGCCGCUCGCCCGGGCACCCAUCCCCGGCCUCACGCCACCCAUCUAGAGAGAUGGCGGCCGCGCACGACGAGGUCGGCCUAGCCGCCGCCUCCUUCUCCCGCGACCGCGCCGCCCUCUCCUCCUUCCUCCCGCCUCCCUGCCGUGCCGCCCCGCCGCCUCCUCCCUCGCUCGCUUCCUCUCCUCCCGCAGCCGCCUCCCCCCUCCCUCACUCGCUCCUAAUCCGGCGACGGCGGUAGCGGCUGCCGCGCCCACACCCAUCUGCUCCCCGCCGCCAUCACCUCCAGUAAUGUCGCUGCUCCCGUCGAGCUCGAGCGUUCCAUCGCCAGGAGGAGCGGAGGUUGCCGCAACAGCAGCUGCUCGGACGUCUCUCCCUCGGCGGUGCCGGAUCCAGUGUCCACCAUCGCUGUACCUCGGGACUCCCCCCCCCCCCCAAGCCCAGUGCUGGAUGAGGUCAUGGCGUCCCCAAGCUUUUUAGGUUGGCUGCUCCUCCUCUGUCUGUGGCGUCCCAGAGAAGAAAGGUUUUCAAGGCGGUUUUGUGUAGAACAGCCACGGAGCAGAAACAACGAACAUGCUACUUCAGCAACAGCUAGGCGCUUUCCAUCGACAACCGGGACUCCACGCCUAAGCUGUUGAUUACCUCAUUUUAUUCAUCUUCUCCGUAUAUUAAUUCGAUUGCCUGCUACAUUCUUCUUCAUUGCACGGGUGGCACUUUUGCUUGUGUCUUGUUAUCUUUUUGAUAGCCUGUAUCACUGAUGGCCUUCCAUUGGCGGAGUGCUUAGAUGGUGGUUAUGUGAAGGAUGUUGUCUUCUACAAGUAGCAAGAAAAAUUGUUGUUCAAAAACAUAUCUAAAGGCCAACAUGAAUCAUCAAGACUGUCAACUGAGACUGGACCAUACCGUUCCAGGUCAAGGAUGGAGCCUCCACAGUGCCUAUGAGCCAUGCUUUUUCCCACCCAGUAAAAUGGUCUAUUUUCAAGUGGCAUCAUACGGUGAAGGAGGGGAUCUGGAUCAAGAGCCGUAAUGGUGCUUGUGAUGGCAUGUCUAGCACUUGCGCGACCCUGGAGUCUGACUUCUUCUUGCAAGUUGACCAUACUAUUGUGAGAAUCUCAGCCAGGAUCAUUCUUUAUAUCAUGUUGGAUCAUCUUGGAAUUCGUAGAGCCAUUUACCGUCGAAGGAUGUACUCACAGAACAAAUCAGUGUGAUUAUGCUUUUCUACAUUUCUGUCCAAAGUAAUGGGAUAUGUAUUCUGUACUGUACAACUACCCUCUAAUGCACUACUCAGCCUUCAAUCUCUGUAUGUACAAAUGACUUGAUCUAAUUAUUAUGAACGACAUAUGGAGUGUGCUGCUUUCUAUAUAAAUGGCUUGCUCUAAUUCUGAUUUA